GUCAAGGUGGCAGAACCCGGAUAAUGCAAAAGACCUAAAACCUUUUUAUAGAGGUUCAAAUCCUCUUCCUGACU
rnacentral:tRNA from 1 species